UACGUAGGGUGCAAGCGUUGUCCGGAAUUAUUGGGCGUAAAGAGCUCGUAGGCGGUCUGUCGCGUCUGCUGUGAAAACUCAGGGCUUAACCCUGAGCUUGCAGUGGGUACGGGCAGACUAGAGUGCGGUAGGGGAGACUGGAAUUCCUGGUGUAGCGGUGAAAUGCGCAGAUAUCAGGAGGAACACCGAUGCGAAGGCAGGUCUCUGGGACGGGUACUGACGCUGGAGAACGCGAAAGCGUGGGGAGCGAACAGG
rnacentral:rRNA from 1 species